GAGUUAAUUAGUUGAUGAUGAAUAUUAUUAAUUCAAACCCAUAACGCCCCAGCACGUCUAAGCAUUGGGAUUAAGGAGCGAUUAAGGUGAAGACUCAUGAUCUCAUUGGCUCCACCCACGAGUUGACCGCCAAUGAACACUGCUGGCAAGGUUGGGGACCCAAGUCUCGACAGUGCUUGCUCGAUUUCCUUUCCUCUAGGUAUCUCAUCCAGCUCAUGAACCGCCGGGUUCACCCCAAAGUCACACAACAAGGUCUUGAUGGCAUGGCACAUGCAGCAAGUGCUCCUGCUAAAGAUCACCACUGCCCUCUCUGAUGCCAAUUGUGUCACCCUCUCCAUGAUCUCGACAAAGAGCUCUACGCUUUAGAUUUCAAAGUCCAACUACCGUCUAGAACACAAUGCCAAGUACAGCGAUCGAGAAGGGUACAAUGCUAAUCAACUGGUGGGUAGAAAACUGAUAUAAGUUAAUCAAUAUCAAGAGAUGAUUGUUGUAAGAAGAGAAACGCGAGAGCUAGCUAGUAAGGAUUGCUGUGAGGGUUUUUGGUGU
rnacentral:misc_RNA from 1 species